UACCACGCUCACUUCACAGUAAACUCUUCACUCUUCUGAGGUUUAAAAGUCUAAAACUUACUUAAACAUCUCUUACUGGAGGGGCAUGCAAACAGAUGAGUGCCUCCUUAGUCUUCAAGAAGGGGAGGUGAAGAAGAAUGCGGAAGGAGAUUUACCAUAGUGAGGCAAAAAGCCCUCAUAAAUAAAGGACAUUUCCAAGAAGCACAACUUGUCCUAGGACAAGACAGAUGCUCAAGUUCACAAACAUGGAAGAAAAGAGUCUCUUUUCCUUCACACUAAGACUUGCCUACAUCUUUUGCCAAGAAUAAAGGACACUGCAACAGC